GCGCCCGUAGCUCAGCUGGAUAGAGUACCUGGCUACGAACCAGGUGGUCGGAGGUUCGAAUCCUCCCGGGCGCACCA
rnacentral:tRNA from 22 species